AAUAAUUAGUCUGCGGUGUGUUCUGUUCAUGCUCUUUAAUCUAUAUCGAGUCGGUAAAGCAGUUCGUGAAUUGUCAAAUUUUAGAGUUUACAUUCGAUAGUAGAUGGCGCAGAACUGGAUACUUUUAUCGUUUUCUCUCUUGUGGUAGUUUGACUCUAUUGUUGGCACUUUUGAGUGAAACAGUAAAUUUGACCAAUCGGAUACAAGACAGCGACAAUAUUUAGAGGAUUUUAUUGGUCGUUUUGUGCGUACGAGGUAGCCAUAACUUUAUUAUAACCCAACUGAUCGUAAAGCAUACAGAGGAACACUCAAAGAAAUAGUUUUGACUACCUUUAUCGGUUAGUCGUAUAUCACAGUCGGGGUGAUUUCAUUUGUCGUACUUUCAGUGUUUCAUUUGGAUGGCAUCGCAUUGCGAAAACAAGAUAUUAUUUUUUUGUGUUUCUAGUGUUAAUGAAAAACAACAUAAUCCAUAAUAUUAUUAAAAACGACAAGCAAAAGGACUAUUGUAAAGUUGGUGAUACUCAUCUCACUAUGAAGAUGAAGAAAAUAUUUUUCAUUCUGUGACCUUUUUACAUUCUUAAAUGUCAAUAUGGAUCUUAUUCGAACGAAUUGAAAUCCAGUAGUGCAAAAGUGAUCUCGAAGCAAUUUACAGCCUGGCGUGUUAAACAAUGGGGCCGAAAAAGGCUCCGCCAUAAAAGUAUUGAAUAGACCCAUCGCCGUCCAUAUACCAGUCAUUGAUGAUUGAUGACAUCGAUACAUAAAAAAGACGCGCGAGGAUGGUGCAGCGCCUCGGUCAUGCAGUGAGGGGCUCGAGCGAUGGUCAGCGGGCGGCGCGCGAUGCUCGGUGGCAGACCGUCGGGCGGGCCGGCAGGUCGGCUGAGCGCAGCUAGUGAUGAGCCGCGAUGUCCGGCAAGCCGGCGAGCGUGGCCGCGCCGCGAGCGGGCGUGGCAGGCGCGCCGCGCGUGCUGGUCUACGUGGCGGAGACGCGCCAGCUAGAGGCGGCCGCCGCGGGCCCCGCGCCGCGCGCCGCGUACGACCGCCACUCCGACCCGCCCGCGUACUACAAGCCCUUCGGUGACUCUGAGCCCAGGAUUAACUCGUUCGAAUCAGACGCCGCGGCGCAGCGGGAAGACUUCUUCCCCGCCCAGUUGAUAAAAGAAAACUGUAUACGGACCGACGAGAAAGACAGGCAGAGUGCAGUGAAAAGGGAUUGUGAUACCCAGUGGAGUAAUGAUACGUACGUUAGGAUACCUUUGCCGUUGGGUGAGUUCGGGUACCAGCGAUGUGCCACUAGUGUAGAUAAUAGUAUGCCCAUGGUGCCGGUGGUGCAUCCGAGCCAGUUCAACGAGAGUGCUGUGCAGAGUGAUAUGAACUGUGCCGACAGGGAGGUGGUGGGCAAGAGUUUUGUGAACUACCAGUUACUGGAGCAGAGCGUGUCGCACCAGUCCAUAGUGAACCAGAGCAUCAACAUUCUGAACCAGCAGGUGGGAGUGGGCAGGGCUCUGAGCGAGGAGGGGCCGCAGCUGGUGCGCACAGCUGACGGAGUGGUGCUCGCUGUGCUACCUUCUGUGUUAUCUCAGUCGGAAGCCGAACUGAGGACUGUGCAUAGUGAAUUCCCACAAACAAUUACUGUGCCAUUGGGAUGGAGGAGAAUUGUUAAUGGAACCUCUGUUUUGUAUGUUAGUCCCAGUGGAUCGGCGUUGAGUAACCUCUCGCAGCUACGGGAAUACUUACAAACAUCGGGCACUUGUAAGUGCGGCUUGCCCUGCCCUUUGAGACCGGAGACCGCCUUCAGUUUUGAUCCUAAGGUUAUAAGCAAGCCGUACCAAGUGGCCGCCGGUGCCGAGCUGACAAAGCUGUGCAACCACAAGCGGAAACUGCUGGCGUCGCUGCAGUCGCGCGUCCAAUCGCCCGUCACGCCGCCCCCGCAGCCUGGCGACCAGAAGAAAGUACCAAACACUGAGGCUGCAAAGAAGAAAAUGAAGAAACGGCCCGGUUUCGUGCCCGCUAUGAGCGUGUCGCAAAUGAUGGUGCAAAGGGAGAGACCCCUCAACGAGUUCAAGCCCGAUAAUGACCAAAGGCGAACGGCAUCGCCAGGAGCGAUGCAACAACGUGCAGGCACUGUGCAAUCUUGUCUUCCUUACUCGCAACAGAACAUGCUCAACGUUGUACAUGAUGAUAUUAAACAAGAAACACUCGUACAAAGAAGCUCGCAUUAUCUUACCGUUAGUAGUGGUUGGAUAACGCAGCAACCAGAAAUGGAAUCUAACCCGAAGCCAAAUACGUCUAUAUCCGGCCCUGUACAUAAUACUAUCAACGUCGGUCAACCCGUGUUAGGGACAAACGGACAAGUAAUAGGCGUCAAUACGGGAUACAAUAAACAAAUUACAAAUAUUAAAAGUGCAAUGAACACUCCCCAACAAAUUAUUAUGGAAGAAAAUAAGGAAGAGGAAAAAGAUACACAUAUGAUUAAACAGCAACAUAGAGAAGAGUCACAGAUAUUCUGCGGUCUCAAUCAACCGUUAACACCAGAAGUUAUGCAAAAGAUUAACGAGCAACAGCAAAUAUUCAUACAACGUAAUCAGAAACAAAUAGAAGUUAUGAAGGGUUAUAAAACACAAACGAAUGACCAAAUCAAUCAAAAUAAACCUAUUCAAAAUCAAUAUGUUCCUCAAGGUCAAUUAGUAAUUCAAAAUGGAGCUGUUGUCAAAACAAACUCUGCCAAAACACCGCCAUGGCAAGUUAAAAGAAAUGAUUCCAAUCCUUCAAACCCACUCAUGUGUCCUAGCCCGAAAUUACACAGGUUAGAAAAUAUAGACUACGAUGACACGAGUAAUGUAUUUGAAGACUCUUCAUCUUCGUCAGGUUCUUUCAUCAAUAAUGAGCAGAUGAUGAAUCAGUCGAUGUGCUCACGGGUGCCACCACUUCCUCAACAUUAUAAUAUGAUGGGACAGCAAUGGCCCGGCGUGGACAUGAAUAAGAAAAAGAUGAAGUGUAAUAAAGCACCAAAGAAAAAAGCAAUUUUAAAUGAAAAUAAACCUAUAACUUUUGGAAAUAACGGAAUUAGACAAGUUCAGGAUAAAUCAAAACCUUGCGAUGAAAUCGUAAGGAAUAAUGUCCCAUCAUUCAUGGACGAUCCUAAUGGUUAUUUAGCACAGCAAACAGUUUUGCUAAACAACACAAUAUCUAGACAAGUAGGAAUGAAUAAUCAAUAUGAUGUAAAUCAAUUUGACAAUUCAAGUGCACAGUGUAAUUCAAUGAACCAAUCUGAUAAACACUGUAAACCGAUGGCAAAACCCGGCGAUAACGUAAACGUAUUCAGAAGCAAUGUCGUUCCAAAUCCGUCGCCUUCACCAAAUAAUACACCUGACAGCAGUCUCGUUCCUGACAAAUGUCAUGAAAAUAACAUGCCACAAUGUUGUAAAGGUUGUAAUGUACCCUACAAAGGGAACUGCAUUAAUACGAUGGAAAAUCAAAUGCGAGCUAAGUUUUUGAGACAACAUCCCAAUGUAUAUGGAAGAGAAUUAGAAAGUGGGAUACCUACCACAUCUAGUCCGAAACAUGUCUUUGAUGAUAAUCCUGUUACAUCAUCUACGUAUAUUGAGCGAAAUAUCAUGAUGAAUGAUAACUGUGGGCCGAUACAAGCGGGCAUCGUCAGUACGAGUAACGUAUCACCUAAUGAAACGAUGCAGCAACCGGAGCCCUCACCGACUCCCUCUAAUAGCUCCCGGAGUACAGACACGCCUCACAGUAGCGGAAGUAAUUCACAGCUUCAAAAUAAUUGUACAUUCCCCAUACAGAGUCCUGUUUAUUCCAAUCCCGGUUCUAGUAGAGAUAAUUAUAGUAGCAAUCCAUCGACUCCAGGAAGUAAUCACACAUAUCCCUACAAUUCCCCCGGACCGCCCAACAGCCAAUCGGUGUCUGGCAAUCAAGUGAUGCAUUUUAUAUCAAAUCACAAUGUUAAUAAAAAUUUAAUGGAAGUAGACAACAUAUCAAUGGUCGGAGUGAAGCCUGGAUUGAGAAAUUCUCAAGAAGUCUUCAGAAUGGAACCUAAAAAGAGAAUAGAAAAUACCAUGCCUGGCUAUUGUCCACCGCCUCAUUUAGGAGGUGGACCAGCCCAUUCUCUCAUACAAGCAUGUUACAUUCAGACGUUUGUAACGACCAUGGCCAGCGGAUUUUCUGUCACUAGAGACACCGUAACGUCAGUUCUAGCUGGUAAAGCGAGCACGGCAACGACGUCGAUCAACGCAGCUCAAGCUAAUUUUAUAAGGCCACCUCCACCGCCUAGUGUCAACUUAGCAACUAGCUACGCCAUACCAAACAACCAGCCUGACCCUUUCAUCAAUUCUGUUAACCUACCAACCAGUUAUCCGUUACACAUUGCGGGCACAACUGCGCAAAACAUGAUAUCAAAAUCUCCGUUAGAAAUGGUGCAGAGCGUUAUAAGUAAUAUACCAUCAAAACCUGAAACGAGUUACUCGCAACCAACGACAUUGCCACAGAGGCGCGCGUGUUCCACGCCAGGGCAAAUCCUCAUUUCUUCCACAGGCCAAAUACUGGUCUCUAGUAAUCAAAUGCCGCCGCCGCCCCCAAAGAACACAACAGCGAUGUCACCAAUGGGGUCUGGUGUUGUUACUAGUGGAACUUCGUCUGUGAGUCAAGUCGUACCGGCCGUUGGCGGAGUUCAACCGAUCGUAAACCAACCAACUGUAGUGGUUAACUCUAUGCCAACUCCUUUCGUCAUACAGCCUCCAAUGAUGGCUGUGGAUGGGCAGGUCGUACAACAUAAUACUGUGUUACCUCAAAUCGUCACCAGUGGAAUCGUUCCCGGACAACAAACGAACGAGAAUCAGCGACAGAUUGAAGUCAAAAGCGGACAGGGAUUCGUACAAGGCGUGGCCAUGUUGUCACCAGAGAGUAUGAAGAAAAGAAAUAAGAAGAAAAAGAAGAGUCCGACGCCUAACAUAACGAGUGUCCUUCAAAUAGCGGCACCUCAGCAAAACCCUAAUAAUAUAAUGGUGCAUCACUCUUCUCCGCAACAUAAUUCUAGUCCACAGUUUUCUCCGCGCGGUUUCCAAUUAUCACCAACAAAUAAUAUAUCACCGACACCGAUGUUGCAAGCUCUAACUAUAGUUCCCGGCAAGUCGGGUACACCGGCGCACAUAGUGAUGAAUGGACAAGGAAACACGAACAAUUUUGCAUCACAGCAGAUAAUCACAAAUACGUCACCAUCACAACAAAUCAAUUUGCUGCAACCUGUAAAUUUGAUUAACAAUGCCAAUAACGUUAUGUCAAACUUCCCUUUCCAACAGUUUAUUUUACCGAAUCUCGGUGGGAUGGUAAUGACAGCUGACGGUACGGCUUUGAUUCAGGAUAAUUCUACUGGAAUGCCCAUGCAGCUUCAACUACAAACUGUCAACGGCCAGAAUGUCUUAACACCGGUUCAAAAUUCUGGAUUAUUUACCACAGGAACCAACAGUGGUGUAGUUAUCAGAGCACAAAAUCAGCAAGGCAAAAUAAUACAAUCGCAGCACAGCCCCGGAGCUCAAUUUUUAUCUCCGAAUAGCCAAGUAAUGAUGAACAGUCCCAACUUCAAUGGUCAGUUGAGUCCUCUGCUGACCAAUCUCAGUCCCCCAAACGUUUUCAACACGAGUCCUCAAAUGAGAUCGGGAAACGUUCAAACUCAGGAAUUCAUACAGACAAAUCAAAUGGGUCAAACGCUAAUGGUGCCACUGUCCCCCAAACAAGUCCCCAUAUCCGCUACGAACAACAGAACUAAUUCCACAUUCGUACAAAACACGACUAUAGUUCAGCAGCAAACGACAUUAGUUUCCAACUCGCAUAACUCUCAGAACAUAAACAUGCAAAGUGGGAACUCGAGAUUGAGUAUAGAUCCGAAUAUCUUGCUCAAUCAGAAACCAGUUGCCAAUCCUAAAAGGUUCAAUCAAUUGAUCGGGGAGAGCAGCCAAAUGGAUUUCAAGGAUGAGAAGGUUGUGUCAUUCGAUCACGGGGUAAAGAAUGAUAAACCAGAUGCUUCAGAGGAGUAUGCUCGUCUGAUGCAAGAGCUGGGUGGUGUACGGCAUUCAGUGUCGACUCAGACGCUGGGCCAACGUGGGGGGAAGUCUCCGAACACGGCGGGAGGGUCGCCUCCCGACACUACGACUCAUAGUCCUCUCGGCGCGCUGGAUGCGGCCCCGAGUCCUCGUAUUUACGCCGCUGCUUCAAAUUACGCUGAUACUACCACCAAAUCACCGGAGCCAGCGGAUAUACAUUCUUCGGCGAUGGUCCAGUGCGUGUCGAGCAGCGAGCAGGACAUGGCAGAGUCCCGAGAGCGCACUUGGCCGACGCCUAGAAGUGACAUUAGCUCUGAUUCUGAACAAAAUAUGCUGUCAAAUAUACAGCUCAUGCGGAUGACUCGCACCCACAAUUCCGUUGAAUCGAGCGAAAUACAAUACAACCAAAGCAUGAGUUCCUCUGGCAAUAGCCAACAUGUUCUGCCCAUGACGUCGACCCUUUACGACCGACCACAAAGUUAUAAGAGGAAAAACGAUUUCGGAGAUGGUUCAACUUACAGGAAUGACAAAAUCAUGAGAUCCAAUUACGGCAUGGUCCAUGGAUUGCCGAAGGACUACGAUAAUAUAGCCAUGGGUCAAGAGAAACAGCAAAGGCGUUUCUCGCCUUCGGGAAGUAAUUCUGAAAGUUCAUCUAUUCAGAAAGUGUUUGACAGGCAUUUAGGUUCCGAUAAUGCUUCUACAUAAUGCGAUAUUAUUGGUCAUUGGUUUUCUUUUGGUUGGGUUAAUACAAGAUACAGCUGUUCAUUAAGGUGUACUGGAAACUAAUCAGAUAGCGAGGCGCGCUCGCGAUGGCUUUCUGUCGCUUUCCAUUGCACCAUUGAAGUAACAAUAAAAUUGGCUCACACAUUGGGAUACAUUACUAACGCAUCAUUGUAAAGCCAUCAUUCUAUCUGUCCAUCAUUAUUCGAAGAGCGAGGACGAGUCGGACGACAAAUCGCAGGACGGGUCGAGCGAUAAGUCGCUGCGGAGGCUCGAAGUCGGGGAUCUGGU
rnacentral:misc_RNA from 1 species